GGAAAAUCGAUUUGAUUUGAAACUUGACAGUGAGGCCAUUGCAACCUUGCAAAGUUUCAGGUCACUUGCCAUUGGUAAUUAAAGUGAUUCUUCUGAGACAGAUCAAAAUUAUUAAACUCUUAAAAUAUACUUUUAAGUUGUAUACUCCAUUGGAUUGGAAGAGCUGAUUGCUGAUUGCAAAAUGGAAGAUGAACACAGUGGAAAGUCCUGUAUGCAGAAGGCAAGUCCAGAAAAUGAUCCAGAGGGUGGUCUAGGAAAUAAAAAUCAUUAAAUGUUUUUAGGUUCAACGAAGAAUUUCAUUUUAAACAAUUUUGGGAAGAGGCAGAUUUGGAGUUUUGGAAGCAAAAAACAAAAUUGAUGACUGAGAUUAUGCUGUAAAAAGAAUGUGCAUCAUUGUGAAUGGAAGAAAGAAUGUACCAAAAGGAGAAAAAAGACAAGUUUAGUGCAAAGCCAUCAAACGCAAUAAGAAAAAUCACAAAUUGUCUGCAACUAUUGCAUUAUACUGUUGCGAAGACCAUUUUACAAGGACAUGGAAAAUUAUAUGCAAUACAAGAUUACCAACAAUGUGAAGCAUAAGAAAUUAAAGUCUGGUGUUGUACCACAUGCUUUUUCGUGUCAAAAGCCAGCUGUCUCUAAGGAGUGCACAUAUGUUGCUAAACAUAGACGUAAAGAUCUAAUCGUCAAUUCAAUUCAAAAUUACAAAGGUUCUCUCAACAUGACAAGUGACAAAACCAGUCACUUCGACAAUAUCAGUUGUCAUAGCUCCCCUUUACAAGUGAAUGAACAAGUGAGCUUAGCAGGACACAGCAAAGGUUGUCAAGCUAAUGUUGUAACAAGGCAUAUAAGCAAAAGAGUAGGUACCAUUCCUAUUUCAACUUCAACAGUGGCUUAGUCACCUAUCAAACAGCUUACAACAACAAGAGCAACCUCUCCUUUAUUUAAAGAGAAAAAAGAAGAUGCAUAUAUUGAAGUUGUUCAAGAAAAUGAUGAUGAAAGUAAUUCGUCAGAAUAUGAAUGGAGCCUCAGCACGCCAAGUGAAAGUACAGAUGACAGCACAGAUGAAAAAAUUGAACACAAAAUAUUCAACGAAGACUGUUUGAAAAUAACUAUGUUAAAGAUUGAAAAAAGACCGAAGAAAUAUUUAGGUGUUCCUAAAGAGAGAUUUUUCUUAGUUCGAGUGCUGUCAGACAAAACUAAAUUGUGUUCUCGAGAUUUUCAUAGUAUUAAAGAAAAUCAGACUCAAUGACUCUUUUUCAAUUUUAGGAGAUGAUUUUGGACUGAGUGAAACACAAAUUUGCAGGAUUUACGAAAAAUCUUUCCCAUAGCAAAAAAUUUGAAAAAUUUAAUUAUAUGGCCUACUAAAAAACAAAUGUAUAAAAAACUGCCUAUUCCUUUCAGAGCAAGAUAUAGUAAAGUUGUUUCAAUAUUAGACUGCUUAGAAAUUGAAACACCGAGCAAUUCGGCCCAUCAGUCCAUGACGUGGUCAAACUUCUAUAAUUGUGAUACAAUUAAAUAUUUAGUAUCGUGCAUGCAAGACAAGUGAUCAGGAUACCUGGAUCACUUAACUGCUGGUGACUUAAUUAUGGCUGACAGAGGCUUCAAAGAUGUAGCAAAAGUUUUGGAAGAAAAAUCAUGCAGAUUAGUUAGACAUCAGUGUUUGCAUCAAAAUGCAAUACCAAGAGUGGAGUUAAACAAUCAAAGCAGAUAGCUCCAUUGAAAAUUCAUGUUGAAAGCUAAUUGGUAUUAUUUGGUUGAAAGGUUAAUUGAAGAUUUUAAAAUGGUAACACCUCACAGUUGUGUGGACAAAAGUCACAUCAAAAAUUGGAUGAUAUAGUGAUAACUGUGUGCGGCUUAGUAAACAUGCAAGAUAAUUUCAUUAAAAAUAUGAUUUAGUGGUGUCACUUGGUCUGUUCUGCCUUCUUCAGUUGAAUAAUCAUAUAUUUCAUCAAAAUCAAGAAGAAAGAAAGUUAAAAUCAGUUGACCCAAGAACUUUGUAGAAUGUGUCAGAUGAGGUGUAGAACGUAAUGUCAAAAUUGCUGUCAAGCUUAAAAUAAAUUCAUUAAUAAGUGAAUUUUUUCAUUGGGAUAAAAUGCCAAGUUGGAAACCUUUCUCGAUGAGAUCUUCAGAUUUAUUUCUUAUGAGUAAGUCAGGUACUGUAGGGAGCUCUCAAUCAUCAAGUAAUGAUGAAUAUUUAUUUGAAGAAAGCUCUAAAAGUUCUCUUGAAAUAACAUCCAUUAAUGAUAAUAUUCAAAAAUUAGCUAAAUUAAGCAUAGAAAACUAUAAAAUUAUAUCUUUGUAUUAAAACACCUACUUAUCUCUAUAAUUGAUUUAUCUAAGAACUAUAUUAAACAGAACUAUGUUGAAACAGUCUUUGUUCCCAACUCUAUUCAAUUAUAUAGUGAAGAUGUGUUUUCCUUUGUAAAUUCCAUACAUAAUUGUUUAUUGUAUAAACUAAGUUAAGAAGAUUUGAUAAUUAUACAAAAAUGUUUGUUUUAUGAUAUAUCAAGAGCUGAAAGUGAGAAGUUGAGUUGUGCUGAAAUAUUUAAUUAUGCAGGAAAAGAUAGUGUUAAACAGGUUCUUUAAGUUCUAUUUAUAGGUAAUAUAUGUUUUCUGUAUACUCAGUCUUUUUUAUUCAUGUAAUCAAUUUGUGUAACAUUUUAUGGGAUGUCAUUUUGUUCCUUGAUAAUAGUGCUUAUUCAUUGAGUUCUGAUCAGCGAACUCAUUUUUCGGGAGUCCAACCUUAUAGAUCAAUUGGGAAAACUGUAAUUAUUUCUGAAAUUAAAGAUUUAAAUAUGA